AUGAUUUGAGAGUCCAUUUAUGGAUGAAAUUGAUAAUUUUUAAAAUAUAUGACCUUUAGAUUAUGGGUGAAAUUAUUUUUCAAUAAAAUUCCAAUUUUGCCCCUGUGGGCCCGAGGUCACUUUUCGGGUGCGUUUUUGGGUUUCGAAUAUAAAUAUAGCAAUAUGGGUGUCCUUAGAUUCGUAUUCUAACGUAGAUCACAUAUUUUAUAGAUUUUAAUCGUUCAGAGGCUCCACGCAAAGGGAAGACAUUGGUUUGAUUGUUCGUGGCACCUGCUCGGCAUUGAGAGUACGAUCCAGGCUCCAGCUCUACACCCCGUGACUGAUAUGCGAGGGUGACAUCUUUUAGUAAUUCAGGGUGAGCUACUUGGUCAUCCGUGGCCCCUGAAGGACCUCCUCUUUUUAUUUCUGUUUUUGUAUUCGACAGACAAUAUGUAGCCUUCGGGUAUUUUCAGACUUAUAUUCCGUACUAUGUUAGCGCUCUUGUACCCUUUGACCAGAUUUUGGGGUUGUCGUGACAUUUCUAGUUAUGAUAAGUAUUUAAGACUUGAUAACUUA